rnacentral:rRNA from 1 species
CCUACGGGUGGCAGCAGUGGGGGAUAUUGCACAAUGGGGGAAACCCUGAUGCAGCGACGCCGCGUGUGGGAAGACGGUCCUCUGGAUUGUAAACCACUGUCCCCAGGGACGAAGAUGCCGUUACCUGGGGAGGAAGCCCCGGCUAACUACGGGCCAGCAGCCGCGGUAAUACGUAGGGAGCGACCGUUGUCCGGAAUUACUGGGUGAAAGGGGAGCGUAGGCGGGGAUGCAAGUUGGGUGUCAAAACUACCGGCUAAACUGGUAGUCGCACUCAAAACUGCAGCUCUUGAGUGAAGUAGAGGCAGGCGGAAUUCCUAGUGUAGCGGUGAAAUGCGUAGAUAUUAGGAGGAACACCAGUGGCGAAGGCGGCCUGCUGGGCUUUUACUGACGCUGAGGCUCGAAAGUGUGGGGAGCAAACAGGAUUAGAUACCCGAGUAGUC